rnacentral:misc_RNA from 1 species
GGGUAUUAUUGGUGUUAACAUUAUUAUUGCUUUUCAAAGUGUCCUUUUCCAUCUUUUGUUGCACACCUGAAACUUCAACUCGCGGAAGAAAUCUGUUAUUCUCAAAUGAAUUUAACACCUGGGAAAGCUCAUUUUUUCUCGAAAGCUCAUUUUUUCUCAGACGAAAGUGUGUUACCCAGAUUUUGACAUUAUAAACACGGUGAAUCACAACAAAAUUUGCUUCGUUAAGUCCUCAGGCAAGGCACUAUGCGAAUCUAGGUCAGAUUUUCAGCUGAAUGUUGACAUUUCAAAGCUUACAUCCUCGACUCUCAUGUCAGAUUCAGAUCUUUUAUAUCAUGAAACUGAUCCUUGUAUUCUAUAAUCAGCAAGGAAAUUGACCAAUUUCCCUCUAUAGCCGCGUAAAUCUCUUCAAAAUGUAUCUGCGAAACUUAAAUUCUGUGACCGUCUAUCUAUAAAUCUCAAUGGGAUAUAGCCAAUUUUCACAAGUUACAAUCUGCCACCAAGAAAUUCCUUGUGAAAGCACCUUCACAUCCCCGAAAAUGUACCUGCAGAUCCUCAGCAUUGAUUUGCUCAAUUCUCGUCAAGUUUCACCCAAAUAUCUCUGUUUGGUUACCCGGAAAGAGGAGAAAGAAAAAGCAAGAAAAUUCGCAGAGAAAACCAGAGAGAGAAGAGCGAAGAGAUAACCACCAAUACUGCAAGCAGAUUCUUU